GUCUAUGGCCAUGCCACCCCGAACAAGCUUGAUGUGUGAUCUCAGAAGCUAAGCAGGGUCAGGCCUGGUUAGUACUUGGAAUGGGAAACUACCUAGGAAGACCAGGUGCUGUAGGCA
rnacentral:rRNA from 1 species